GACGAACGCUGGCGGCGUGCUUAACACAUGCAAGUCGAACGGAAAGGCCCUGCUUUUGUGGGGUGCUCGAGUGGCGAACGGGUGAGUAACACGUGAGUAACCUGCCCUUGACUUUGGGAUAACUUCAGGAAACUGGGGCUAAUACCGGAUAGGAGCUCCUGCUGCAUGGUGGGGGUUGGAAAGUUUCGGCGGUUGGGGAUGGACUCGCGGCUUAUCAGCUUGUUGGUGGGGUAGUGGCUUACCAAGGCUUUGACGGGUAGCCGGCCUGAGAGGGUGACCGGCCACAUGGGGAAGGGGAUACGGCCCAGACUCCUACGGGGGGAAGCAGGGGGGAAUUUUGCAAAAGGGGCGGAAGCCUGAUGCAGAAACGCCGGGGGGGGGAUGACGGCCUUCGGGUUGGAAACCGCUUUCGCCUGUGACGAAGGGUGGGUGACGGGAAUGGGUAAAGAAGCACCGGCUAACUACGU
rnacentral:rRNA from 1 species